UGUGAGGAUACAACUGGGAACUAAAGCUGGAAGAUGCCAGACAUUCAGCAGGGAGUUCCCUCAUCAGCAGCUGGCUAACUGGGGAACUGAAAGUCACAAGGCGCUCGUUUCUGAUAACUCCAUGAAAAUUCACUCUGGGUCAGAAAUCAAUCUUUGGAGUUCUGAACAUGCAGCUUUUCUCAUGGGCCUUUUGGAGAACAAUCAGCUACUCAGCCAUCAGAGCCUUUUUUGCUGGAUGGCAGGCAGGAACUGACAGCAAACCAUCGUCUCUACAACACGCAGAAGAUCAGCACCAAGUCUCCAUUCUCCGAAAACAUGUGUCCAUGCAGCUCUCCCAGGGGAGGUCUGCGCUGCAGUGGAAGGCCCCAGGAGCGUGGGAGCCAGCUCAUCGCAUGAAGGAAACACAGAGUUGUACCUCCAGAUGCCAGGCGGAGCGGCGACGUGACGCACGGUGGACGAGGAGCCAGGAUGCCCAGCUCUGCUACCAACACAGAGUGGGAAUUUGCACACCUCACAUGGUGUCAGUUUCCAAAUGCUGCUGUAAUCAAUUUCCACAAAGUGGUGGCUUAGAAAAACAGACAUGUAUUCGCUGACAGUUCUGGAGCCCAGAAGCCUGAAACCAACGUGAGGGUUCUAGGGGAAGAUCCUCAUUUGCCCCCUCCCAAUUUGGUAGUUCUGGGUGUUCCUUGGCUUGUGGACUCAUCACUCCAAUCUCUGCAUCUGUCUUCACAUUGCUUUCCCUGCUUCUCUGUGUGUCCAUUCUCUGCAUGUCUAAUUUGUAAGGAUAUGAGUGAUUGCAUUUAGGGCCUACUUGGGUUAUCCAGGGAGAUCCCCUCAUCUCAAGAAAAUUGAUCUAAUCAUGUCUGCAAAGACCCUUGAUCCAGAUAACAUUCACAGGUUCUAGGGAUUUGAUUGGGAUAUCUUUGGGGUGAGGGGGGAUAUUUUUCAGCCUGCCACACCCACUUCCCUUCUUCUGGCCUCUUCCAGAAAAUGAUGGCCCCUCUGAGCCCCGAGUUCCCCUUCAGCUUUGAAGUUCUGCAGGUGAUCCUCAGACAGCCUAGCCUGCAUUGCCAAGUUCACGACAAUGUUAUCUCAAUAGAGUACCUGAUAUUUUUUCAAAGCACUUUCCCAUCUGUUAUUUUGCUUCAUGCUCCUGAUCACCUCUCGGGGCACACAGGGCAAUUAAUAUUAAACCCAUUUAAUUGAUGAAACAACAGAGGCCCAAAAACUCCUAACUCACUUUCUCCUUGAGUUAGUCAGCUAAUGGGAACCAGGAGCAGGCCAGGUGGUUUCCCAGGGCAUGCUUUUUUUUUUUCUCUCUCUCUUUCAUUGUAUAUAGCCUUUCACCACCACAGGCUUUGUUCUGGAAGCCCAGGAAGGUAGGCAAGUCAAAGCUUGUCAUGUAGAUCCAAGCCCACCCUGAAUCCCUGAUUCAUAUCCCCUGGAGAGUGUGGCAGGAACUUCAUUUGCACUCCCUGUGGUCCCAGGUGGCAGAAAUGAGGAUGAAGCCAAGUGUUUGGAGUUCUUGCGAAGAAAGAUACAACAGCCACACAAGGUAUUAUUAACUUUAUUACUUGUCAGGAAGAGGUGGGGGAAGCAGUUAAGAUUCGGCUAGAUGAGAGGUGAGUGUACUGCAUUACAAUCUCUGGAGGGUGUGGUGGGCAUAUGAGCUGGAAAGGACCAUUAUUUAUUUACUACUUUUGUUAAGUGCCUGUAAUGUGCUGGGUGCUAUGCUGGAUGUGUGUGUAACACAGACACAUAAACCAUUCAGGGUCAACCUUGCGUGGGUGGGAGGAGGUUAAAAGCACUUGCAUCUUCUUCUCCCUGAAAACAGAAACAUCUUCCUCCUUGGCCUACCAUGGUGCCAGCAAUCUCCAGCAUUAGCGAUGGCUCCUUGGGGGUAACCUGCAGAAGCUUCUUAACUGGGUUAAGGCAUCUUAUUACCUUGCAGGAGUAAGGCAAUCGCCAGCUCACUGAUAGUACACAAUGAUUUCGCUCAUUCCAUCCACUCUUGGCCAUUGGUGCAGCAGGAAGGGCCUUGGGGUCCUCCAAUUUGGACAGUGGGGAGGACUUGGCCCUGGGCUGACAGAUUGCUGCUUGGCAGGUUUAUGGGAGCCAGGCGUCAGCAUGGUGUGACGUGGGGAGGCAAGAGUCAAUGCCAAUGCAGGCAGCCCCCUCCCACCAAGCAAAGCGGCUUACAGACUUCGGAGAGGAAACAAAACAUCUACAUGCAAAUGUUGAACCAGAUUUCAGAGCAAGAGAGCAACUUCAAGAGCCAAGGCAGUUCCAACUACCAGGUGUUUAAUACCUUUUCAGCUUGGGUGGAUCAUGGAUCUCUUUGAGAAACUGAGGAGACAGUCUUGGAUUCUCUCUCUGUCUCUCUCUCUCUCCCCCACCUCCCCCUCUCUUGCACCUUCUUCUCCCUGCAAACAAAAUCAGAGUCCUGCUCUGUCACCCAGGCUGGAGUGCAGUGGUGCCACCUUGGCUGACUGCUAGCCUUGAACUCCUAGGCUCAAGUGAUCCUCCUGCCUCAGCCUCCCAAAGUGUUAGAAUUACAUGCGUGAGCCCCCACACCUGGCCUGGAUCCUCUCUUUUGUAGAAAAUGCACUUGCAUAGCAAACACACACACACAUACACACCUCUCACUUUUUUAAUGAAAUGUCAGGGUGUCUGCUGAUGCCUGAAGCACAUCCGAGGGCCGCAGUGAGAUAUUCUUCUUUGGAAGUGCUCAACAACCCUGGGAGGUAGGUGUGGCAGGGUCUCUUUUCAUACACCAUAAAACAGAGACCCAGAGGCAGCUCGCAACUUGCUCAGGUCAUGUAUUAGUGAGCAUCAGAGGCAGGCCAGGACCCCCAAUUGCACAGGUCUAGGAAGCACCAUUUCAUCCAAGUCUAUGUUGCAUGCCAAAGAGUGUCACUGACAGAGAACACAGUGAGACCACUGCUACCGCCCUGGAGUUAGGCAGUGCAGCAGCUCUAGAGGACCUCAGCCAGGGUCUUCUGAUAACCAUUUACAGGCAUAUAUGCAAAAAGCCCCACGGGGUGACAGAGGUAAGGAGUCCUGGAGGGGGAUCAGAGAGGGAUGCAAUUGCCGAAGACUUGGAUGCCUAAGCUUGCAAAUGGAAGACUAUUUCUAAAUCAUUUAUUCAUUCCACAGCUUCAUAGGUGGAGGUGAUUCAUAGGUGGUUCCUAUGUGAAUUUCAGUUCCCCUUCCCCCCGACCUAGAGUAAAAUCCACACUCUUAUUUAUUUAUUUAUUUAUUUUGAGAUGGAGUUUCACUCUGUUGCCCAGGCUGGAGUACAGUGGCAUCUCGGCUCCCUGCCACGUCUGCCUCCCAGGUUCAAGCAAUUCUCCUGCCUCAGCCUCCCAAGUACCUGGGAUUACAGGUCACCACCACCGCGCCAAGCUAAUUUUUUGAUUUAUACUAGAGACGGGGUUUCACCAAGUUGGCCAGGAUGGUCUCGAACUCCUGACCUCAAGUGAUCUGUCCACCUCGGCCUCCCAAAGCGCUGGGAUUACAGGCAUGAGCCACCGCACCUGGCCAAAAUCCACACUCUUCAUAGCGAUCUCUGUGGCUCAGCAGGGACCCCUCCAUGCCUCUCUGUCUCUCCUCUCUCUUGCCACUGCCUUUCUUGUUCAUUACACUCCAGCAACCCUGACCUUCUGUCAGUUCCUAGCGCUUGCCAAGCUUUCCCCUCCCCAGGGCCUUUGCACUUGCUGUUCCUCCUGCCUUGGAAGAUUCUAGCCCUGGCUGUUCCCAGGGCUGGCUCCGUCUCAUCCUUCAGCUCUCAUCUUGAAUGUCACUUUCUCAGAGAGAUCUUCUUUGACUUUAUCUAAGAAUAUCCCUCCACUAUUCUCUAGCCAUCUGUUUCUUUUUAGCACGUAUAACAAUCUGUAACUGUUUUAUGUCUUAAUUUGCUUAUGUAUUUAUUAUCUAUCUCUCCCUUGAUCAUAGAAAACAUGGUAAAGAUUGUAGCUACGGUGUCCUGUUCACCAUUCUAUCCCUAGCCCCUAGCACGUAUUAAGGGUUCAAUAAUUGCAGACUGAAUGACUGAAAGGCAUGUUUGGAAGCAGAAGUAUUCCUCGGCCACCACUUUAUCUUACUUAGUGCAGUAAUGCAAUCAACAUUUGGCUCCUGCUGUGAUGCUACCCUGAUCUCGGGCUGGUGAAAGCGUGACUCUCCAAGAUGAGCCAUCCAAGAAACCACAUAGAAAAGAUCAAGGUCCCAUAACUUCAGCUUGGGGAAGCAAGAACAAAUGUGGCAUUCCUCACUUAAGAAAGAAGAGGCUGUGAUGCUUGCUAAAAAAAAAAAAAACUUGUCAACUGGAUCCAUCAUCAAAGGAAACUGCCCCAUGGACAGUUUUAUGACGUAGUCUGAAGCACAGGAAAUGGGCGGCACGGGAGCAUCGGGGGACUUUUAGAAGUUGUAUUGCUUUCUUAAGAAAAUGCUGCUGGCUUCUGGAACUGCAGUUUAAUUAAAUUCAGUUGGCUGGAUACCUUCAAAGGCUGUUCCAGGUCUUCACCAGCCCUCACAGACGCAGGCAUCUUCCGAGCAAAUGUGUGAGCGAGAGAGCGGUGAAGCAGUCUCUGGCAAGACAAGGCAGGCAUUCUCCAAUCCUGGAUCAUCACACCCUGGCAUGCGGCAGGGCAGGUGGCCAAGGACCUGAGCGUCCAGAUCUUCCUCCACCCACCCCGCCCGGUCUCCAUGUGUGACAAUGGAGGGGAGACAAUGCUGUCUUCAUAGAGGUAGUGCAGAGAUCAGGGCUAUCAGAGGGGCCUGCAAAGGUGCACACAGACCCACUUUGGUCAAUUUGUCAGCGGUGAAAUCCGAUGCAGGUUCUCCCAGGGUGACUCGCUGCCACCCCAGGGAUGGAGUCUGCAGGUUUCUAGGGGCUGGUCCCCCAGGGAAGGAAGGUCUGAGGGCCACAGGAGCAUUUUGGGAACUUGAGCUCUUCCAAACCAGUCUGUAACACAGAAGACGCUAGAAAGAACACUAACUGGGUCAGAGAUGCAGUCCAGACACCAUGGGGCAUUCUGAUUAUCUUGAUAAGAUGUGAGCUCAAACAUAGACCCUGUCAGAUGAAAUGUCUCAGAAAAGGCAAUUUUCUGUUCAAUCUAACUUUUAAUUUAAAAAAUAAUAAUAACAGGCAGG